rnacentral:rRNA from 1 species
CAGCAGCCGCGGUAAUACGAAGGGUGCAAGCGUUAAUCGGAAUUACUGGGCGUAAAGCGCGCGUAGGUGGUUUGGUAAGAUGGAUGUGAAAUCCCCGGGCUCAACCUGGGAACUGCAUCCAUAACUGCCUGACUAGAGUACGGUAGAGGGUGGUGGAAUUUCCUGUGUAGCGGUGAAAUGCGUAGAUAUAGGAAGGAACACCAGUGGCGAAGGCGACCACCUGGACUGAUACUGACACUGAGGUGCGAAAGCGUGGGGAGCAAACAGGAUUAGAUACCCUGUAGUCCCUGUCUCUUAUACC